ensembl:snRNA U6 U6 spliceosomal RNA
UGACCGAAAGAACAAGGUCAAACUGAAAUUGGAAUGAUACAGAGAAAAUUAGCAUGGCCCCUGUGCAAGGAUGACACGCAAAUUCGUGACGCGUUCCUCAUUUUU